GUGUGAGAAGAAGUGGGGGGCGCGGCGCGGCGCGGCGCGCUGUGAGGGAAUAGGCGACGGCAGGCGUUCUCUAGAGCCGAGAUAAAUUAGCCCAGUCUGCCCGCCUCUGUGAUCCCCCUGCAGCACCGGCUGGAAGUGCGCCGUGAGGAGCUGCUGCAGAAGAAAGAAGAAGAAGUGGCGGGACGUGGGAGGCAGGAGCGAGGAAGAAGAGGACGCAGAAGCGUGCAGAUGCGGGGGGGAAGGAGAGAGGCACCCUGAGCAAAGCACGUGUCCCGUUAGCGGGGGCGCAGUCAGAUGUGAGUUGAACGUUGCCGGUGCCUUGGGUGACCAGGCCG